GGGGCAGGGCACAGCGGCUAUAACGGGCGGAAUGAGCCGUGAGAGUAGUCGAGCGUGUAGUAGUUAUUUGCGUCUCCGUGUACGUGCUGUAGAAAUAUACUUGUGCUUGGAACUGUGUGCGAAGGGUACUUCUGGCUCCCCGAUAUAUCCCUCACUCUUGGCCUUUGGUUCUUUAGUUGCAAUGUGUUUGCUCACCCUGUGUGAUGACCUCCUCACCUCAAGUUUUAGUAUCAAGUUAGAAUCGGUUACCUUCUUCAUCCUCGCAGAAAAUAAAUCAAGAGCUGACUGGGCAGUGAAGACCAAACCACUCCUCAGUCUGGAUUUGCCGUACUGUUUUUGAAUAUUCUGGGCAAAAAGCCAAGAGAAAGUAGCUCUUACCAAGUUAAAUUAGCUUUCUCUUUUGCAGGCUGAACAGCCCCAGGUCUCUCAGCCUUUCCUCAUAUAGGAGAUGCUUCAGGCACUUCAUCAUCUUCAGGGCCUUCCGCUGGUCUCUCUCUAGAAGUUCCCUGUCUUUCCUGAGCUGAGGAACCCAGAACUGCACACAGUACUCUGGAUGUGGCCCCACCUGGGCAGAGCAGAGGGGGAGGAUCAUCUCUUUUGAUCUGCUGGCCACGCUCUUUUAAGUGCACUCCAGAAUACCACUGGAAGAUAGAAGACAAAAUUAUUAGAGCCAGAAUUAGGCUCCUCAAGGCCUAAUUGAACAGAUUCCAAGGCAUACACUCUUCUCUGUUUACACUGCAAUUUUUUUUAUUUUCACCAUUGCUUCCUGUGAUGUCAGACUCAAGCAGUUGCACUUGUUAUUUGAAGAAGACUGGGGAAGAACAGAAACCUCUCAAAGAAAGGGAACCCAAAGGUGUUUGGCAAAAGAAGUUCUUCUUGUCCUUCUAGUACUACCUUUCUUUAUAUUCCGCAUCACAUGAAUAUAAACUCACUGUAAAGCUUUCUAGGUAUGUACAGGCAUUUGAAACAGGAUGGUUUGUUAGCCUUCGUAUUUCAUCUCUUGUUGGCUGCCUGAGAGUCUGAAAAUUUAUCUUCCAUUCCAGCAUAGACUAUGAUCCAGUGUGUAUACCAGAGUACUUAAACACUUCUGCUCAUUAGCUCCCAGUAUUUCUUCAGGCUCACUUCACUGUUUUGAGAAGAAAUUGUAUUGUCAGCACAGUGUUUUUCAAUAAUGUUUUAAUGAUAUGAAAUGUAUCAAUUAAAGAUGACAUUUACUGUUUUUUUUUCAGUGCUGAGAAAAUGACACCACUAGAGCCAUUUUCUAAGUAACUGAAGAAGAUCAACUAAAAUAAGAUUGUAAUUUCAUUAGGUAGAUGCACAAUAAGAUUACAGUAUCUUGUGAAGUUCCUAAAAGCUUACAGUGCAAAUAGUAGCUAAUAUUCUGAGACUGUCUUAGUUUCCAUAAAACUUGAGUAUAUGCAUAGUAAACUAUUAUUCUAGAAAACAAAUUAAUAAACUAUUAAAUGUAUCUUUCCUUGAUUUAAAAUGCUCAAAAGUUUCUUCAAACAGCAUGCAAAAGAGUCUUCUAUCCUUAAUUUAUGUAUCAUCAUCACAGAAGAGGAAGGCAUUCACGGUACUCUAAACCAGCUCAAAAAGUAAAUCAAAUAUUAAAGCAUUGUGGGUUUUUUUCAUGUACAAUAAUAUUUAGAUUAUGCAAAAAUCAAUUUCAAUAUCAAUUCUGUGCAGUUCAGGUUAGUGUAACACAAGCCUCUGUAUCUUAUUGUUUGUUGGUUUGUUGUUUUUUUUUUUCCUCCACCUUGAAAUUAAGUGGGAAAAGUCCUUUACGUCUAUAAUUUUCCAAAUGCCUGUAUUUUGUGGUUUUCAUGGGGUCUGAUGUGGUUUUGUUCUGAUAAUCCUCUUCCUUACUGAGUUGUCACACUAGCCAUGGAAAUACACUGUUAUUGCUGAAUUUAUUUCAGCUUUUAAUUCAGCUGACUUGUUCCAAAAUAAUUUUAAAAAUCUCCUGAGAUAUUAAUGUCCUAUUAUUUUAAGAGCGUUUCCUACUGUGAUGUACCCCAAGGAAAUAGAACAGUUUUUUUCUUGGUAUCUAACUAUCAUUUGUUGGAUAUCCUGAUUCAGACAGACCUUCAGCAAAAAUUGUUGAUGUUCUUCAAAAGCUACUGUACUUUGCUAAACUGACAGACAAAGAAACAAAAAUGCCAUGAGAAAAUUAAUUUGCCUCACUUUCAGACUCACUAAGCCUGAAGAGAAUAACGUAGUAAAUCUAAAUUAAUCAAGGAAAGAAAAAACUGGAUGAUGAAAUACAUUGCAAGCUAUAUACUUAUUACAGAUUUUUAAAGAAAUCAGGAAAUAGGAGCUAUAUAGGAGGCUUAUAUUUUCAACAGAUUGAAUAUAGCAGUUACUAAAAGAGUGGUUGUAUUUGAUGACUGUUUUCAACUUCAAACCACAUUUCCCCCUAGAGUUUUAUGAAAUAUGAAAAAAAAAAGGACAUUUUUUAAUGCUUAGAUUACUGGAAAAUCAGAUGUACAAUUGUGCUGAAUUAAUUUUGAACCAUUUUAAGAGUAGAAAUUUCUUCAUUUGGGUGAGUGAUAUUGAUAUUUCUCCUAGCUUGCAAAGUUUGUAGAGACUCCUGUCAGUUGUGGACUUUUUUUUAUUGACCCAGCCAUACAUAUUAACUUUAGGUGGUUAUGAAUAAGUUGGGUAAUGUCAGCCUCUCUUACAGCAGUUUGUGUGGCAUGAAGCUGUAUUUCUGGUCUUCCAAAUCAAACACUAUAUGUAGUGCUAUUGGAAAUAAUACAUUAAUUUUUUUUAGAGAACUAAAAAGUCUGUUGAACAAGCAUUAUUUGAAGGUUGAUAUGGAUUGAUUUACCAUUAUUGAAUGCCAUAAUUAACCUGAAGUGCUGACCUCCUUACUGAAGCAAAUUAGUGAUACAACUAUGAAAAGAAGUAUUCGCUUUAUUUGUUUUGGAGAAGAUUGAAACAGUGGGACAUAAGGCAGUAAGCUUCUUUAUAGCAUAGAAUCAUAGAAUGGUUUGGGCUGGAUGGGACAUUUAAGAUCACCUAGUUCCAACUCCACCUGCUAUAGGCAGGGACACCUCCCUUUAGACCGGGUUACUCAAAGCCCCAUCCAGCCUGGCUUUGAAUGCUGAACGUGGAGGAGGCAUCCACAGCCUCUCUAAGCAACCACUUCCAGUGUCUUACCACACCUACAGUAAAGAAUUUAUUCCUAAUAUCUAGUCUAAAUCUACCCUAGCAAAAGGAAAAGGGGAAAUGGUUUUAAACUGGAAGAGGGUAGGUUUAGACAAGAUAUUAGGAAGAAAUUCUUUACUGUGAGGGCGGAGGCUGUGGAUGGCCCCGUCCUAGAAGCACCUGUUUAUAGCAGGUGGAGUUGGAGCUAGAUGAUCUUAAGGGUCCCAUCCAGCCCAAACCAUUCUGAAUCUGUGAAGGCUGAGAAGACAGAAAUUCAGGUUUAAAAGAGUAAACUAUAUGCAGACUCAUAUCUUCUAACUUCAUUAUUUACUGGACAAUUACACUGCUUUAGUCUACCAACUUGCCAAUGAAGCCAAGUUUUGUUUCACUGAAGUCAGCAGGAAAAAUCUUGACUAUUGGAACAACUGCAAUUCAUACUCUAUGCUUACACUCUACAAUAUCAAAAACGAAUGCAUUUCACAGUUUGAAAUUUCAGGCUGUUUCUCUGGGUGUUUUUUGUUUGCUUGUUUGUUUGUUUGUUUGGGUUUUGGUUUUGUUCUGUUUUUCCAGAUUUUAGCAAAAACAUUAUUGUAAAAAAACAAAUUCAUAUUUGAAAACAUGAUGUUUUUCGGGAAAAAAAAGCAAAAAAAUCAAAGGUAUUUCCUUUCUCUCCUUAGAAACUGACAUACAUUAAACAUACCUUCACUUUUUAAUAAAAGUUGUCACUCAUCAUCUAGACUUCUAAUCUGGAAUCUAGUCAGAUCACAGUGUAUUUUACAUUACAAGGAAAGGUUGUAUGUCUGAAUAAUUUAAGCGUAGCUGGUACCUGCUGAAGAGUCUUCAGAAUAAAAGCACAUUAUAUUUUUUCAACAUUCUCGUUAACUUAAAAAAAAAAUUUAAAAAAGGAAAGUUGUUCAUAGACAAAAUAAACUUCUCAAAUCCAUCUUAAACAUACUGGAACACAUUAAGCAGACGGACAGAUCAAUACCUUUAAAAUUGUAAGAACAAUCUGAAACGUUUUGCUGUAAGCUCAUUUUCUAACAGUUUUACCUCGUCCUCUUUCAAAUGGGACUGAUUUUUAAAACUGCUUCCUCCACAUUCAGCAUUCAAAGCCAGGCUGGAUGGAGCUUUGAGUAACCUGGUCUAGAGGCAGGUGUCCCUGCCUAUAGCAAGUGGAGUUGGAGCUAGAUGAUCUUAAAUGUCCCAUACAGCCCAAACCAUUCUAUAAUUCUGUGGUCAAAUAUGUGUUGGUAUUCUACUCAAGUAUCACACUCUACCUGCAGUCUCAAGAAUCAUGCAGUCCUGAGCGUACAGUAAAUUAGAAACACUCUCUUUACUAACUUUCUCCAAUUGCUACAGCUUUUAUUCUUCUAAAAUGAUACAAUGCUACAUGUUUUUUUUUGGUUGGUUGGUU